rnacentral:rRNA from 1 species
ACGGGUGAGUAACGCGUGGUCAACCUACCGUUGAGUGGGGGAUAACUAGCCGAAAGGUUAGCUAAUACCGCAUACGUCUCCGAGGGGCAUCCCUUGGCGAUAAAAGGAGCAAUCCGCUCGAUGACGGGACCGCGUCCCAUUAGCUAGAUGGUGGGGUAACGGCCUACCAUGGCACCGAUGGGUAGCUGGUUUGAGAGAGCGACCAGCCACACUGGGACUGAGACACGGCCCAG